ACGGAUGACUGGAAUGGAAUACUUAUAGGAGCGAAUGAAAUUGGGUGAGUCGAAAAUGACUUGAGCCCAGGCCCAAGCUAAAACUGACUGGGCUAUGCAGGUGAGGCCCAAGCUUUUGCCAUGAGCCAAGGUAGUGUAUUCAAGCUGGAUCAAAGUAGAAAUGGGCCCAUGGAGCUUCUACGGGUCACCCAGUCCAUUACCUGCCUUAAUUUAAAUACUAGGCAUGUGGUCCAGCUUUGUUGUGGAAUUAUGUCAUAUCUGAGUGACUCAUGUGUCCUUAUCACUUUACACUUACCAAGCAAAAUUUCUAAUAAGGUUGCAUUACUUUGAUUUGUGUUAUCUAAAUCAUGUACAAAUUUAAUUAGUUCAAAAGUAUAUUGAGAAGGUGAGCUGUAUAUUAAAAUGUUAUAUUAGAGUACAUUCAAAAAAAUCAUAUUUUACUUUAUACAAAAAAGUAAAUUUUAUAUUUUUUUACCAUCAAAUAUUAAUAUUAUCUCAUAUAUGGCAAAGCUGCAAAAAAAGGGAAGUUAACAGCGAAAAGUAUAUCAUUCUCUUGAAAAAAAAUAAAAA